AUUGAACGCUGGCGGCAGGCCUAAUACAUGCAAGUCGAGCGAGCGGCGGACGGGUGAGUACUGUCUGGGAACCUGCCUGUUGGAGGGGGAUAACUACUGGAAACGGCAGCUAAUACCGCACACCAUCAGAUGUGCCCAGAGGGGAUUAGCUAGUAGGUGGGGUAAUGGCUCACCUAGGCGACGAUCCCUAGCUGGUCUGAGAGGAUGACCGGCCACACUGGAACUGAGACACGGCCCAGACUCCUACGGGAGGCAGCAGUGGGGAAUAUUGGACAAUGGGCGCAAGCCUGAUGCAGCCAUGCCGCGUGUGUGAAGAAGGCCUUCGGGUUGUAAAGCUCUUUCGUCGGGGAGGCGUUACCCACAGAGGAAGCACCGGCUAACUCCGUGCCAGCAGCCGCGGUAAUUC
rnacentral:rRNA from 1 species